rnacentral:misc_RNA from 1 species
CUGCUGGAGAAAGAGUACUUC